rnacentral:misc_RNA from 1 species
AAGUCGUAACAAGGUUUCCGUAGGUGAACCUGCGGAAGGAUCAUUAAUACGUAUCCACGUAUCAACCGAAUCGUGAACAAGUUUUCCGCCUUGCGAUGAGAGUAGUUGCGGUUCAGUUUUACUUGGACGACUCACUAGUUGGGUUGGACGAGUUUUGAUGAUGUGCAACUGACCGGUCCUAGAUGUUGCUUUUUGGAAUGUCUAGCUCAUCCAAGUGUGGCUCAACAAAUUUGACACAUCAUCGCUUUUUAACUUUUAACCCCAUGUACAACAUUUUGAACUGAAAAACUCUUCUUUUACUGGAGCAAUCCAGUGAGAGUCGAAAAAUCCGAAAUUAUGAAACAACUCUUAACAACGGAUAUCUUGGUUCUC